UACAGAGGGUGCAAGCGUUAAUCGGAAUUACUGGGCGUAAAGCGUGCGUAGACGGUAGCGUAAGUCGGGUGUGAAAGCCCCGGGCUCAACCUGGGAAUUGCAUUUGAGACUGCGUAGCUAGGGUGCGGAAGAGGGAAGCGGAAUUUCCGGUGUAGCGGUGAAAUGCGUAGAUAUCGGAAGGAACACCAGUGGCGAAAGCGGCUUCCUGGUCCAGCACCGACAUUCAGGCACGAAAAGCGUGGGGAGCAAACAGG
rnacentral:rRNA from 1 species